rnacentral:lncRNA from 1 species
AUGCUCACGGAAAUUCCCACUUGCUUUGCGGGAAUUGAAAGCCUCUUUGCUAUACUAGCCCUUGACCAGCUGGGCUCUUCCCCUAUAGUAUUAACCAAGAAGCGCCUAUAUAGUUCGCUUUAUCGUUCGCUAUCUGGUAAUAAGGGGUGGGUUAAUACGGGAAUCUCUGGGGCCGCGGGGGGAACUUCAGGAGCAUCAAUGACAGGUGCUGGGGCAUUGUUGCCUACUGUAGGCGGGGACGGUGGUCCGUCCACUCCCACCCCAUCGCACGGCGCUAUAACCAUAAAGUGA